GAUGAACGCUGGCGGCGUGCCUAAUACAUGCAAGUCGAGCGAACGGACGAGAAGCUUGCUUCUCUGAUGUUAGCGGCGGACGGGUGAGUAACACGUGGAUAACCUACCUAUAAGACUGGGAUAACUUCGGGAAACCGGAGCUAAUACCGGAUGAUAUUUUGAACCGCAUGGUUCAAAAGUGAAAGACGGUCUUGCUGUCACUUAUAGAUGGAUCCGCGCUGCAUUAGCUAGUUGGUAAGGUAACGGCUUACCAAGGCAACGAUGCAUAGCCGACCUGAGAGGGUGAUCGGCCACACUGGAACUGAGACACGGUCCAGACUCCUACGGGAGGCAGCAGGAGGGAAUCUUCCGCAAUGGGCGAAAGCCUGACGGAGCAACGCCGCGUGAGUGAUGAAGGUCUUCGGAUCGUAAAACUCUGUUAUUAGGGAAGAACAUAUGUGUAAGUAACUGUGCACAUCUUGACGGUACCUAAUCAGAAAGCCACGGCUAACUACGU
rnacentral:rRNA from 1 species